UCGGGUAUGGUGUAACGGCUAACAUUGCCGCCUUUCAUAUUCCAAGUGAGUUACUUGGAUCGCGGCAGCUCGGGGUUCGAUUCCCCGUACCCGAA